GGACUGUUGUUGCUUGCUUUUAUUAUAUUUUAUUGUUUUGACAUGAUUAACAGAGAAAUACGACUUGAGAGUUAACUAACAUGGCAGUGAAGCAUUUGAACGUUGUGUUACGCCGGUCACUGGGGAAAUUAAUCAAUUUGAAUGCGGAGCGACACUUCAGUACUUUCCUGUGUAAGCAGUGAAAGAAAAAGAAAGAAAAUAUUUGCUUUGUCGCAAUGGAACGUGGCCAUGCUGGAGGACCGCAUUGAACCCGUUUACUCGAACAAACCGAUCCCAGCACAUAUUUCUAACGCAAGAAAAAAAGAACAACGCAUGGAUGUGGUACAUGCAAAGUAUUAAAAGACACUCAGGGAAGGAAAGAAAGGUAGUUUUACGUUUCGAGCAAAGCUCUUCUUCAGAAACAGGAGACAGAGGAAAUUUCAAGAGAAAAGGAAGACGGAGGAAAAAAGUCGCCAACGAUCCACAAGUAGUUAUAUUUUAUACAUAUAUAAGUUUCAUACGAGAAGAUGGAAUGAAAAGGCUUUUUACAAGUUCUUUUGGUUCAUGGUUACCAGUCGAUAAUUGCCUAAUACUGCAUAUAUUAAACCAUUAUUACAACAAUAUCAUCCAACAGUAGCUAUAUACGAGGUGUGUAUGAAAACAUGGUACAAGACUUCAAGGGUUAAAGGCCUUGAAGGCUCAAAACUUUUCAUACACCCCUCGUACAUGCACGACUUCCGGUUAAUACGGUCCAAAGCAGUAUUUUAUCAUUUUUAGUUUUUCUUUGUUUUAUACUCACAUCCUAAUGUUUUUAGCAUUCCAUUGACAAAGAAUAACACGGAAAUACAAAGAGAUAUAAAUGAGAAAAAAUACAAAAGAUAAGUUAAUAGAAAUAAGAAUUUUAAAAAAUAAAAAAAACCUCCUUUUCCACA